rnacentral:rRNA from 2 species
GGGCGCUUACCACUUUGUGAUUCAUGACUGGGGUGAAGUCGUAACAAGGUAACCGUAGGGGAACCUGCGGUUGGAUCACCUCCUUACCAAGAAGAU